rnacentral:misc_RNA from 1 species
UCCUGGUUAACCCAGGCAGUCUCAUUAGAGUUCCCACCUUUACGUGCUGGCAACUAAUGAUAAGGGUUGCGCUCGUUGCGGGACUUAACCCAACACCUCACGGCACGAGCUGACGACAGCCAUGCAGCACCUGUGCAGCAGUCCCGAAGGAAAGCACCAUUUCUGAUGCGGUCUACUGCAUGUCAAGUCUGGGUAAGGUUCUUCGCGUUGCAUCGAAUUAAACCACAUGCUCCACUGCUUGUGCGGGUCCCCGUCAAUUCUUUUGAGUUUCACCCUUGCGAGUGUACUCCCCAGGCGGUAUACUUAUCGCGUUAGCUACGACACAAUUAGGGUUGAGUCCAAUUACAUCAAGUAUACAUCGUUUACAGCAAGGACUAC